GCGGGAAUAGCUCAGCUGGUAGAGCAUCACGUUGCCAACGUGAAUGUCGCGAGUUCGAAUCUCGUUUCCCGCUCCG
rnacentral:tRNA from 1 species